GACGAAGGAUGCAAGCGUUAUCCGGAUUCAUUGGGUUUAAAGGGUGCGUAGGUGGCCUUAUAAGUCGGGGGUGAAAUCUCUGGGCUUAACCCAGAAAUUGCCAUUGAUACUGUAGGGCUUGAGUAUAGUUGCCGUUGGCGGAAUAUGACAUGUAGUGGUGAAAUACAUAGAGAUGUCAUAGAACACCGAUUGCGAAGGCAGCUGACGAAACUAUAACUGACACUGAGGCUCGAAAGUGCGGGGAUCAAACAGG
rnacentral:rRNA from 1 species